AGUGAACGCUGGCGGUAGGCCUAACACAUGCAAGUCGAACGGCAGCACAGUAAGAGCUUGCUCUUACGGGUGGCGAGUGGCGGACGUGUGAGGAAUACAUCGGAAUCUACUUUUUCGUGGGGGAUAACGUAGGGAAACUUACGCUAAUACCGCAUACGACCUACGGGUGAAAGCAGGGGAUCUUCGGACCUUGCGCGAUUGAAUUAGCCGAUGUCGGAGUAGCUAGUUGGCGGGGUAAAGGCCCACCAAGUCGACGAUCCGUAGCUGGUCUGAGAGGAGGAUCAGCCACACUGGAACUGAGACACGGUCCAGACUCCUACGGGAGGCAGCAGUGGGGAAUAUUGGACAAUGGGCGCAAGCCUGAUACAGCCAUACCGAGUGGGUGAAGAAGGCCUUCGGGUUGUAAAGCCCUUUUGUGGGGAAAGAAAAGCAGCAGGUUAAUACCACGCUGUUCUGACGGUACCCAAAGAAUAAGCACCGGCUAACUUCGUG
rnacentral:rRNA from 1 species